rnacentral:lncRNA from 1 species
GGCAGCUCUUUGUACAGACGGCAACAGCAGAACCUGAGGGAGAGGAACCGCAUAAAUCCUCCCACGUCUCUUUGAUAUGGAUGUUUCCCAUAACUUCAGAGGAGAGAAACCUCCAGUCUGUUCAUCAUGAAGAAAGCACUUGAAACAGAGACCAAUUUCUUCACUUCUGGCAUUCACUAAUGUUCAGAUGAUGGGACUUCAUUGCUGUGCAAACCCAAUAACAUCGGUCCAUCCAGCUUUCAAAAACAUUUGUUAUUUCUUUCAAGACAAUCCCUUUGGCCUUUGAUUAAUUCUACUUGUAACAACCAGAAGAAAACCCUACGCAAUUGUCCCAUCACUGAGACGUGGUGCUAUUACUGUCAAAUGAAGCUUUCUUUACCCCAGGUGUGGUGUUAUUAUACCGCAUACAAGAGCACCCGACAUAAGAACCAAGAAGAGAAUGCAUUUGCAGAAGGAAAGUUAGCAAGACUGGGCCUUGACUCGAGGAAGUGUCUGCCUCCAGGUGGAAGAAGUCUGGUUGCCCUAUGGUGACCAGAAGCCCUGUGUCCACACUGUACUAGCUGUGAUGGUGCUACAGGACAUUUGGAAGACACGACAAGCAUCCUGAGGCCUGAGAUUUCUCCAGGACGAGAAAGAGGAUGGCGACCAGCUCUGUGGUAACUCUACAUGCUUCCAUCUGUGUUUUCUUUUUUCUUUUUCUUGGUUGCUAAUUCCCAUUAGACAAACAGCUUUCUAUACCAUAGUUUGUUAUACAAAAUUCACAUAGAAAAUUGUUGGUCAAUAUUAAAAAGAAAAAUCCAUAGGAGAAGAGUCAGAAUAAAAUCACAUCUAUUCAAUUCUUCUCA